rnacentral:tRNA from 2 species
UUAAUUGAAGCUAAUAAAGAAGCAUUCCACUGUUAAUGGAAAAAUUGAUUUUUAAAAAUCCAAUUAAA